GGUGGGGGCCGGGGUUGUGUUGAAUCAAUAGUUCUGGUCAGUCAUGGCCACAGUCCAGUUCAGAACCGGACCAAAACGGUCAAACCCAGAUAGAGCAAAAUCAGCCUUGAACCAGAAGCAGUCUGGUUCUGGACCAAAACCGGUUAAAAAAAAAAAAGGCUGCUGUAUUUAACUAAAACUGGACCAAGUUGGAUCCAACCAAACCAAAAGUGGGACAUGGGAGGACCGGUCCAGUCCCAGUUAGACCAAAACCUUGAACUGGAACCAGCCCGGACCACCAGCCAUGUCUAUUUCUGGUUAUCUAUUCCAUAUUCAUGUGCUAUUUGCACAAGCUUUGAAGAAUAAAUAAAAAAGAAAAACUUGAAAGUUUCAUUAAUUAAUUACUUUAUUGCAAAAAGAAAUCAACAGCACAAAUGUCAUUCUUAUUUUAACAUACAGAAAGUUUCAGGAAGAAAUGGCCAGAAGGAAGCCUAAGGAAAACAAAGAAUCUCCCAAGCCUAGACUAGAUAAAGUCUGUAACGAGAGUACUAGAGAAAAGAUAAGAGUGGUGCCAAUUGAGGAU
rnacentral:misc_RNA from 1 species